UAAAUAUUUGAGCAUUGUACAAUGCUCAAAUAUUUAUAGGAUUAAGAUGGGCAUGCGUGUCAUUAGCUAGUUGGCGGGGUAACGGCCCACCAAGGCGACGAUGACUAGGGGAUCUGAGAGGAUGACCCCCCACACUGGUACUGAGACACGGACCAGACUCCUACGGGAGGCAGCAGUAAGGAAUAUUGGUCAAUGGAGGCAACUCUGAACCAGCCAUGCCGCGUGCAGGAAGACAGCCCUCUGGGUCGUAAACUGCUUUUAUUCGGGAAUAAACCACAUUACGUGUAAUGUGCUGAAUGUACCGAAGGAAUAAGGAUCGGCUAACUCCGUGCCAGCAGCCGCGGUAAUACGGAGGAUCCAAGCGUUAUCCGGAUUUAUUGGGUUUAAAGGGUGCGUAGGCGGCUUAUUAAGUCAGGGGUGAAAGACGGUGGCUCAACCAUCGCAGUGCCUUUGAUACUGAUGAGCUUGAAUACACUAGAGGUAGGCGGAAUGUGACAAGUAGCGGUGAAAUGCAUAGAUAUGUCACAGAACACCGAUUGCGAAGGCAGCUUACUAUGGUGUGAUUGACGCUGAGGCACGAAAGCGUGGGGAUCAAACAGGAUUAGAUACCCUGGUAGUCCACGCCCUAAACGAUGAAUACUCGCUGUUAGCGAUAUACAGUUAGCGGCUAAGCGAAAGCGUUAGGUAUUCCACCUGGGGAGUACGCCCGCAAGGGUGAAACUCAAAGGAAUUGACGGGGGCCCGCACAAGCGGAGGAGCAUGUGGUUUAAUUCGAUGAUACGCGAGGAACCUUACCCGGGCUUGAAAGUUAGUGAAUCAUUUAGAGAUAGAUGAGUCCGCAAGGACACGAAACUAGGUGCUGCAUGGCUGUCGUCAGCUCGUGCCGUGAGGUGUUGGGUUAAGUCCCGCAACGAGCGCAACCCCUAUGUUUAGUUGCCAGCACGUUAUGGUGGGGACUCUAAACAGACUGCCUGUGCAAACAGAGAGGAAGGAGGGGACGACGUCAAGUCAUCAUGGCCCUUACGUCCGGGGCUACACACGUGCUACAAUGGAUGGUACAGAGGGCAGCAAGCUGGCAACAGCAAGCGAAUCUCAAAAAGCCAUUCACAGUUCGGAUAGAGGUCUGCAACUCGACCUCUUGAAGUUGGAUUCGCUAGUAAUCGCGUAUCAGCAAUGACGCGGUGAAUACGUUCCCGGGCCUUGUACACACCGCCCGUCAAGCCAUGGAAGUUGGGGGUACCUAAAGUAUGUAACCGCAAGGAGCGUCCUAGGGUAAAACCGAUAACUGGGGCUAAGUCGUAACAAGGUA
rnacentral:rRNA from 1 species